CCUACGGGGUGCAGCAGUGGGGAAUAUUGCACAAUGGGGGAAACCCUGAUGCAGCGACGCCGCGUGAGUGAAGAAGUAUUUCGGUACGUAAAGCUCUAUCAGCAGGGAAGAAAAUGACGGUACCUGACUAAGAAGCCCCGGCUAACUACGUGCCAGCAGCCGCGGUAAUACGUAGGGGGCAAGCGUUAUCCGGAUUUACUGGGGGUAAAGGGAGCGUAGACGGCAGCGCAAGUCUGGAGUGAAAUCCCAUGGCUUAACCAUGGAACUGCUUUGGAAACUGUGCAGCUAGAGUGCAGGAGAGGUAAGCGGAAUUCCUAGUGUAGCGGUGAAAUGCGUAGAUAUUAGGAGGAACACCAGUGGCGAAGGCGGCUUACUGGACUGUAACUGACGUUGAGGCUCGAAAGCGUGGGGAGCAAACAGGAUUAGAUACCCCAGUAGUC
rnacentral:rRNA from 1 species